GACGAACGCAGGCGGCGUGCCUAAUACAUGCAAGUUGAGCGAAUUAUUCGGAACUUGUUCCGGAUGGUUAGCGGCGGACGGGUGAGUAACACGUGGGCAACCUGCCUGUAAGACUGGGAUAACACCGGGAAACCGGUGCUAAUACCGGAUAAUCCUUUCCCUCUCAUGAGGGGAAGCUGAAAGUCGGUUUCGGCUGACACUUAAAGAUGGGCCCGCGGCGCAUUAGCUAGUUGGUGAGGUAACGGCUCACCAAGGCGACGAUGCGUAGCCGACCUGAGAGGGUGAUCGGCCACACUGGGACUGAGACACGGCCCAGACUCCUACGGGAGGCAGCAGUAGGGAAUCUUCCACAAUGGACGGAAGUCUGAUGGAGCAACGCCGCGUGAGCGAUGAAGGCCUUCGGGUCGUAAAGCUCUGUUGUUAGGGAAGAACAAGUACCGGAGUAACUGCCAGUACCUUGACGGUACCUAACCAGAAAGCCACGGCUAACUACGUGCCAGCAGCCGCCGCAG
rnacentral:rRNA from 1 species